rnacentral:rRNA from 1 species
UCAUUCGAUUUGUUGUGGAUUGGAUGAUGGAAAAACCUGCAAGUAGCAAGCGUAGUUAGAAAAGUUGUCGUAGCGUGCCCUACGGAGUUGUAAAAAGUCAGCAACCGUUUUGGGGCGCAAGCAUAGGCAACACAGGACUGAUGACGGGGUGGGGCGCACAGUGAACUGGUUUUCUAAAAAGAUUGGAAGAUCCGGCCAAAGAAGGUGAUAGCCCUGUUCAUUCAUUCCCAU